rnacentral:rRNA from 1 species
GACGAACGCUGGCGGCGUGCUUAACACAUGCAAGUCGAACGGAAAGGCCCUGCUUUUGUGGGGUGCUCGAGUGGCGAACGGGUGAGUAACACGUGAGUAACCUGCCCUUGACUUUGGGAUAACUUCAGGAAACUGGGGCUAAUACCGGAUAGGAGCUCCUGCUGCAUGGUGGGGGUUGGAAAGUUUCGGCGGUUGGGGAUGGACUCGCGGCUUAUCAGCUUGUUGGUGGGGUAGUGGCUUACCAAGGCUUUGACGGGUAGCCGGCCUGAGAGGGUGACCGGCCAAAUUGGGGAGGAGAAACGGGCCAGACUCCUACGGGAGGCAGCAGUGGGGAAUAUUGCACAAUGGGCGGAAGCCUGAUGCAGCAACGCCGCGUGCGGGAUGACGGCCUUCGGGUUGUAAACCGCUUUCGCCUGUGACGAAGCGUGAGUGACGGUAAUGGGUAAAGAAGCACCGGCUAACUACGUG